rnacentral:rRNA from 1 species
UCUUAUAAAUUAAGACUGGAAUGAAUGGAGUUAUGGGGCAUUACUUUCUUAAUUUAAUGAUUAAAAAUAAAUUUUUUAGUGAAGAAGCUAAAAUAGGAUUGAGGGACGAGAAGACCCUAUUAAGCUUAAUGUAAUUAUUUUGUUGGGGUAACAAAAGAAAAAUUUUUCUUUAAAAGAUUUUUUUGAUAAAUUUUGAUUUUCUAUUAGGAAAUAAAAGAAAAAGUUACUAUAGGGAUAACAGCAUGAUUUUUUUUAAGAGUUCUUAUUGACAAAAAAGAUUAUGACCUCGAUGUUGGAUUAAAAUUAUUAUAUGGUGUAGUUAUUGUAUAAAUUAGUCUGUUCGACUAUUAAAGUUUUA